UACGAAGGGUGCAAACGUUGCUCGGAAUUAUUGGGCGUAAAGCGCACGUAGGCGGCAUUGCAAGUCGGAUGUGAAAUCUUAUGGCUUAACCAUAAAAGUGCAUCCGAAACUGCAGUGCUUGAGUACUUAAGAGGAUCGCGGAAUUCCCGGUGUAGAGGUGAAAUUCGUAGAUAUCGGGAGGAACACCAGUGGCGAAGGCGGCGAUCUGGGAAGAUACUGACGCUGAGGUGCGAAAAGCGUGGGGGAGCAAACAGGG
rnacentral:rRNA from 1 species